ensembl:ncRNA Y71F9B.17 ncRNA
AGCCAAAGACAAUAAGUUUUGGGGUGAGAGUUCUCGAGGGACAUGCUUUUUGCAAUGCAUGGAAUCGAGAAUGAUGUCAAUCAAAUUUGCAUAACGUUGUGUUUCUCCGUAUGUCUCAAGUGCAUAAUCUAGACAAAUC